CUAUUUCCAUGCUUAUCCUGGGAUGCACUUGAUCUCUCCCCGCCUUACAUUAAAGUGUCCCUGUGCACCCUCAUUCAUCCCUUCCUUUGAGUUUUGUUAGAAGACCCAUCGCCAUGGAAACACAGCGACACGACCAUUUUAAAAAAUGCGGCUUUAUAUUGUCGCCGUUGGUGAAUGUCCCCUUUUGAAGUGAACUGAGAGUACGGCAGACUUAGCAAUGAGAUCUGAUGAGCGCUACAUACAGGCAAAGUGUGGGGCGGGGGGGGGUUCUUCUGACUAAUGGGAUAUUAAAUAUCCUGGAACAUGCAUUUUCAGCCUUGCACAGGCAGCUUCUAAAAGCCAAUAAUGCUCUCCGCUUCCUGUAUUUCAUUUCCAAAGGGGGCUCUAAUGACACAUGAAAUCAAUUCUCCUUUCCAUUGUCUGCAAAGCUCAGAAACACCAUCAGGAGAGGGGGGGAAAGAAAGAGUGAGAAGCGGGCAGAUCCGAAUAUUGUUCCUCUGUACAGAGACUGGGAAGGAGGUGGAACUCCUUAAUCAGAGGAAGUUGUUUAAAACAGCUGAAAAGUUGGAUGAAGCCCCUUUUCCUACUCCCUCCCCUGUUCUGGGGGUGUGCGCUUAACCUCUCUCCCUGGAACACUUUGGCACAAAUAGAUUUAUCUGUUCCUAGCUGGACAUUAGCCGUUCUCUUUUUUCCCAAACGCUGUUCUAACCUUGGAUCUUCUCUGCUGGUGCUGGGAAACAAGAAAACAGCCCCAGGCAUCUUUGCAUUUGGCCAUUUAAACCCAUUCAUUGGCACAUGCGGUGCGGCGGGGCAAGGUUAACCCAGCAGCAUUCCAAUGACAAGUGACAAGUAAAAAUCUCAAGGCUCCUACCUUUCCGAUUUGGUGAAUUUUUUGAAUGCCUGCCGGGUGAGAUCAUGGUAAGAUCUAAAGCUCUGAGGUUCUGCUGAGAUGCCCUGCGCCCUGGUGGUCCUUGGUCCAAUGUGGCUAGUGCUGGGCAUUGCCAAAACAGACUGAUAUUUGUGAAGUUUCCUCUUUAGUUCCUGGAUUUCUUUUUCCUUCUCCGACAGACGAUUUUCCAGAUCCCUGAUCCUCUCCUCCUUCAGCAUGAGGAUCCUGGCGAAGUCCUCUUCUAGAUCACUCAUCCUUGCGCUCCUGGUGCUCCCAACUUGCCGACUUGCCCCUUGACAGAUCCAAAGAGUAGAGGAGGAAAAAGAUGAAUGAAAUCUCUCCUGAAUGAAGACUUGGGUGCCUGCUGCUGAACUUUCUCCCUAAUGCACUGAAAAUGGAAAGAAGGAGGGUGGGCUGUCUGAAAAGGAGCACUGGUGGAUGAUGAGAGCUAAUCCAGUGUCCCUUCUGGGAACAGAUGAUUAUCUUUCAUUGAGAAACCAAUUAGAGCUGCUUGUUUCCACCACCCCCCCACCACCACCACCCCAGGAUCAAUCCAUAGAAAGCAAGUGUCAGCCUCCCCUGCUGGGCUACUCAGAUGUGUGAUCACAGGCAGCCCUGUCCUCAUCCAACCAUCAUCACAACUCCACCACUAAGUGGCCAGCAGAAGAGAAUGAAAAAGAAGAGCUUUGUGACACUCACUCCAAGUCUUCCUGCCCAAAAUAGAAACAAUUACCAUGUGAUGGUAAAAGGCUGACGCAGCUCCCUGUAACUGGAUCCUGGGACUAUGAAAUCAGAAGAAAACACUUCAUAUAGAUACAGUAUCAAGGCAAUUGGGAUUCUGGAGCUUGUCGCCUAGGCUGGCUCUCUGAUAAGGAGGUCUCUCCGCACAGCUCAUCCAUCAGAGCAGGCAGAAGCCGCCAGCAAGGAGCAUGGAUAGAGGGGCUGGAGCUGGAAUGCACAGGCGUGGGGCACUGUUUUUAGCACUUAUCAAUUCUAAAAUGGGUCCCCUGCCAUACCACCCUAAACAAGCACCCUACUUGUGUCUCUGUCUCUCAGGGAUCCUGGGGUUAGGUAUCCUAGCACUCACCUUUUUAGAAUUGCCUCUUUAGGUCCUGUAAUGCCUGCGGAUAUAUUCUAGGAGAUCUUUGGAGUAACAGGUCUCUCACUGCUGCAGUGCUGAUUUGUCCCCAGAAACAUUACCGUUAGUGCUGACGCCAGGAUUUGAUGGGGUCCUAUGGAUUACAAGAUGAAGACUUUACCAUCACCCUAAAAUAAAGCUAAUAAAGGGCCCAACGUUCAGUCGUCGUGCAGGUGUGGGAAUGGGAAUAGGGACCUAGCGGGGACUGGGAGUUUGGGUGCUUGCCAGUACAUAAAGCUCCGGUGAAGUUCCCUGUAUUUUUCCAGGAAGGGAGUAGAGGAAGUCACAGGAGUAUCAGGAAAAAAUAAGCACAAAAAUGGACAAAAUACUUUUUUUUUAAUAAAACCGAAUCAGUGUAA